rnacentral:rRNA from 1 species
CCUAGGGGGGCUGCAGUGGGGAAUAUUGGACAAUGGGCGAAAGCCUGAUCCAGCCAUGCCGCGUGUGUGAAGAAGGCCUUCGGGUUGUAAAGCACUUUCAGUGGGGAAGAAAGCCUUGGGGCUAAUACCCUCGAGGAAGGACAUCACCCACAGAAGAAGCACCGGCUAACUCCGUGCCAGCAGCCGCGGUAAUACGGAGGGUGCGAGCGUUAAUCGGAAUUACUGGGCGUAAAGCGCGCGUAGGCGGUCUGAUAAGCCGGUUGUGAAAGCCCCGGGCUCAACCUGGGAACGGCAUCCGGAACUGUCAGGCUAGAGUGUAGGAGAGGAAGGUAGAAUUCCCGGUGUAGCGGUGAAAUGCGUAGAGAUCGGGAGGAAUACCAGUGGCGAAGGCGGCCUUCUGGACUGACACUGACGCUGAGGUGCGAAAGCGUGGGUAGCAAACAGGAUUAGAUACCCUAGUAGUC